rnacentral:tRNA from 1 species
GGAGAAAUGGCUGAGUGGUCGAAAGCGGUAGAUUGCUAAUCUAUUGUAUCUAUUUAUUGAUACCGAGGGUUCGAAUCCCUCUUUCUCCU